AUAUUGUGUUAUGUUGUUGUGAUUAUUAAUUUAAAGUGUAUAUAAUGUGCGUAUUUAUUUUAUCAUAUAGUUAGUAAUUCGAUAAAUUUAGGUAGCGUGUGAUUUUAGUUUUUAAGUGUUGUAUAUAAUAUGGGUCGACCAACAUAAAGAAUUCUUUUGCGAACCCAUAUCCUUCUUAUGCUGUCCAAAAUUUAGAGGAGAAGUAUUAAGCAUAGUAUUAGCAUCUUCUAUCUAUCCCUCUUUGUAACCACCAAAAGGUGAAGAGCCAUCCCCCCAUUAACCCAUCUUAAUGCAAUUAAACCUUUGCUUUAUGAUAUGAACCAUCACAUUAUUUUUGCUGCACUAAACUCCCUUCACACCAGCCUUACAAAGAAAAAGAAAAGUCCUUCUCCCUUCUCGCAUUUUCGGCCAUUUCUGCACACCCAUCUUGUUUGCCCCAUAUCUCCUUCGUCUUUUAUCGGAAUUGGACGUGUGAGUAGUCGAAAUUCAUCUACUCGGAGAGAUCUUACUCAUGGUAUCAUCAGUUUUUGAAUAUAAGGGAAGAAUUGGUCGCAGUUUUGGUUUCAAGCAGACGAGUCGUGCGGUUUUCUUGGAGUCUUCGGGAGCCAUGUUAUUCUCUUCUUUCUCCGCCGUUCCAGUAUUGUUUUUCCACCUAAAAUUCAGGUUAUGUUGAUGACAAUCUUAUUUGGUUUUGGGUUCGGGUUGAGAUGUGAGCAUUAAAAUGUUAGAUGUUUAGGCCUAGACUCUUUUAUUAAUUUAGGAGUUAGUUAUCUCUUUUGGUUAUCAAUUUAAUUUAUUUAUACUAUCUAUUUAUGUUGGUUUUAUCACUUAGAUAUUUAAACGCAUUUCUUGUAGUAGUGACAUUCCCAGAAGACGAUGUUUCCGCCAUCGUCCUAUAAUACUAUUAUUACAAUUUCUUUCUUUUUCA